rnacentral:rRNA from 1 species
UACGUAGGGUGCGAGCGUUAAUCGGAAUUACUGGGCGUAAAGCGUGCGCAGGCGGUUUUGUAAGCCAGAUGUGAAAGCCCCGGGCUUAACCUGGGAAUGGCAUUUGGGACUGCAAGGCUUGAGUGCGGCAGAGGAGACUGGAAUUCCCGGUGUAGCAGUGAAAUGCGUAGAUAUCGGGAGGAACACCAGUGGCGAAGGCGACUACCUGGCCUGUUUCUUGACGCUGAGGCGCGAAAGCUAGGGGAGCAAACGGG